rnacentral:lncRNA from 1 species
AAAAAAAAUUAUAUAUAUUUUUCAAAAAUGCAAAUUUUGGUUAUUUGUAUCACCAUCAAUUUUGCAAAGUGAACCAAUGAUCUGUCAGUUCACUUUCUCUUAGAUUUUGAUAACCCUUUUCAAGUACCAAAAAUCAUCCUCUUCAUAUCUUAUUCGAACAAGCAAAGGGUGCUUCCUUUUUCUUAUGAGUAACACAAUAAUACAUUUAAUGCAAAUUAAAAAUAAAUAACUUUUACUUCACGUACAAAAGUGCUGAAAAUACCGUACCUCAAAUGUUUGGAGUUCGAGUACCCUUUUUGUGACCAUUUUGUAACAAAAUGCAGCGUGCUACUAGCCUAUCCUUUAGAUAAUUUUCAGACUCAAAGUUGCGUUUAGACUAUGAAAAAAGGGUAAGUGAAAUUUAUAUGUUUAUAGUUGUGAUGUGUGAGAGAAAACAUGCGACACGAGCAGCAGAAGAUAACAUUUUCAAUUGAAAUGAAAAAAGGGACGGUUUCUGUCAGUUUACCAAAAUGGAAUUAAAAUGGUAAAAUGGGUAGACGGUAAAAUAUUUAAGUGGGGUGCCUUAGUGGAGAGAAAAUCAGAUUCUGGGUUGAUAGGUGUUAGAAGAAAUCAAGAUAACGUGGUUGAAUGUGGGAUUAUUUGGCACAAUUCAAUUCAGGAAGUGUAUCGAAUUUUAAAUUUCAAGGACUUAAUAUAGGUGCAAUUAAAUAAAAUGUGACUUCAAAAAUAACGUAAUCAGAUCAAAAUAAAAAUUUGUAAAGAUUCGACACCUUACAAACAUUUUAAGAUAAGUGCGUGCAACUUUAUUAUCAUGAUCAAAACUCUAAUUUGGACUCUUAGAAAAUGUCGUAACGACUUAGUAAUAUAAUUCAAAUUAUUUUUCAAUUUCUACAAAUUUUUUUUUUAAAAUCGAAAUGCAAAAUUUUUCUCGAUUGUUACAACUUGACCAAAUAGUAAAAGUUGUACUAACCUCGAAUUCAAACUCAAACAUGAAAAUUUCUGUUACCCUGUAAAUUAACAC